rnacentral:rRNA from 1 species
GACGAACGCUGGCGGCGUGCUUAACACAUGCAAGUCGAACGAAGUGGCGAACGGGUGAGUAAUACGUGGGUAACUGCCCUCCUUUUUGGGAUAAGCCUUGGUAACGGGGUCUAAUACCGAAUAACGGGGGAUGGCUCGCGGCCUAUCAGCUUGUUGGUGGGGUAGUGGCCUCCAAAGGCGACGACGGGUAGCCGGCCUGAGAGGGCGACCGGCCACAUUAGGCUGCGAUACGGCCCAAACGCCUACGGGAGGAAGCAGUGGGGAAUAUAGCAGAAUGAGGGAAACCCUGAUGCAGCAACGCGCGAGCGGAAUAACGGCCUUCGGGUUGUAAACCGCGUUCAGCCAUGACGCGGUAGUGACAGAAGAAGCACCGGCUAACUACGUGCCAGCAGCCGCGGUAAUUC